GUGAUAUAAAGCUGGCUGAGUUGAUAUGUUGGAAUAAUAAAACUGUAGCCAUUGCCCUUAUCCAAUACUCAGGUGUCUUGUCGUUAUUGGGGGGGCAACGGGAAUGUAAGUGGUCUGCAGUCAAGAGAUCCCUUGGACUGUAAGGAAGGGGAGGCAUGACUGCUGCCACACAGUAAGGGGUGUGUUAUUAUGGGAUACAAUUGUGGCAAUAUGGG